rnacentral:rRNA from 1 species
CCUACGGGUGGCAGCAGUGGGGAAUAUUGGGCAAUGGGCGCAAGCCUGACCCAGCAACGCCGCGUGAAGGAAGAAGGCUUUCGGGUUGUAAACUUCUUUUAUCAGGGACGAAGCAAGUGACGGUACCUGAUGAAUAAGCCACGGCUAACUACGUGCCAGCAGCUGCGGUAAUACGGAGGCGGCAAGCGUUAUCCGGAUUUACUGGGUGUAAAGGGCGUGUAGGCGGGAGGGCAAGUCAGAUGUGAAAAUUAUGGGCUCAACCGAUAGUCUGCAUUUGAAACUGUACGUCUUGAGUGCUGGAGAGGCAAGCGGAAUUCGGGGUGUAGCGGUGAAAUGCGUAGAUAUACCGAGGAACACCAGUGGCGAAGGCAGAUUGCUGGACAGUAACUGACGCUGAGGCGCGAAAGCGUGGGUAGCAAACAGGAUUAGAUACCCGGGUAGUC